CCUACGGGAGGCUGCAGUGGGGAAUAUUGGACAAUGGGCGCAAGCCUGAUCCAGCCAUGCCGCGUGGAUGAUGAAGGCCUUUGGGUUGUAAAGUCCUUUUAGCGGGGAAGCGGUACCCGCAGAAAAAGCCCCGGCUAACUUCGUGCCAGCAGCCGCGGUAAUACGAAGGGGGCUAGCGUUGCUCGGAAUUACUGGGCGUAAAGCGCACGUAGGCGGCUCUUUAAGUCGGGGGUGAAAUCCUGGAGCUCAACUCCAGAACUGCCUUCGAUACUGAGGAGCUUGAGUCCGGGAGAGGUGAGUGGAACUGCGAGUGUAGAGGUGAAAUUCGUAGAUAUUCGCAAGAACACCAGUGGCGAAGGCGGCUCACUGGCCCGGACUGACGCUGAGGUGCGAAAGCGUGGGGAGCAAACAGGAUUAGAUACCCUUGUAGUC
rnacentral:rRNA from 1 species